UAAACUCAAAUCUGUAUGGAGUUGGAACAGUGUCACAACUGUAUACGAAAGCAAGCUGUUUCAACUCUAUAGAGAUUUGAGUUA
rnacentral:pre_miRNA from 1 species